UACACACCGCCCGUCACACCAUGGGAGCGGGUUUCACCAGAAGUAGCUAGCCUAACCUGCAAAGAGGGGCGGUUACCACGGUGAGAUUCGUGACUGGGGUG
rnacentral:rRNA from 1 species